AUGUCUAUGGGAAGCCUUGUGGGAGAAAUUGCCUACAGGUAUGCGUGCAAGCCUGUAAGCUUGCACACAUGCAGAACAGUGUCGCACGCACUCACGAGGGCCAAAAACUACCAGAUAUAGUGCGUGCAUGCUGUGCUGCUGCAACCGCUACCACAUGGCAUACAUCCACGCCAUGCCCCACCGACCAAUCGACCAUUAAGGCUAAUCAAUAGCCAAAAAUGUUUACAUGUGAUUCAACUAAUCACAUGGGUUCCUCUUUGGGUAUUUAAAGCUCAAACAUCCUCUUUUUUUCUUCAUUUCUUCCUUUCUCUUCUUCU
rnacentral:lncRNA from 1 species